rnacentral:rRNA from 1 species
UACGGGGGGGGCAAGCGUUGUUCGGAAUUACUGGGUCGUAAAGGGUCGUCGUAGGUGGCCAACUAAGUCAGAUCGGUGAAAUCCCCAGGCUUCAACUUGGGAACUUGCGUCUGAUACUGGAUGGCUUGAAUUCGGGAGAUGGGAUGUGGAAUUCCAGGUGUGAGCGGUGAAAUGACGUAGAUAUCUGGAGGAACACCGGUGGCGAAGGCGGCGAUCCUGGACCGAGAAUUGACGCUGAGGCGCGAAAGCUAGGGGAGCAAACGGG